CACGGGGGGGAGAGGAACAGCGCGAACGCAGCGCUCGGCGCUUGUGAUAACUCAGCGCCUCAUUCAUUCGACCAGCGAAGACCGGACAGCCGGAGAGCCGGAGUAUUCCACCGUACCAACACACGACGCACGCGCGCGCUGACGCACAUCACUUUAUGUGAUAAACACUAAAAAUCUUGGCAGUAGAGGCACCGCGUCGUUUGCCAGAGCCGAAAUGCAGCUUUCUCGGAAUCCUAUGCUGAGGGAGCCAGCCGCAGAUAUGAACAUGACGGUACAAUAUUUGUGUUGCAAAUUUAUUGAGAGUCAAGGGAAGUUCGCGACCCUAAAUGAAAAAUGCUGAUGUCAUCGUUUAUGAUGACGCAAAUACGUUCUGAUUAGAAACAUAUUUGGACAUAACAGUUGGGUACACAAGUCAUGGAUGUUUCCAAAGGUCAAUCGAAAUUGUAUAAAUUAAUUAUUUUAAUGUAGAUAAUUAAAGUGACUACGUCAAACAAGUCCGUAUAAAUUAAUAAUAAUGAAAAUAAAAUUCUAUAUAAAGUUUAUUUAAAUAAAAAAUAACAGACAAGUCUUUAACAUUACAAGGCUAAAAUAAAACUCCAAUGUUAGUAGACCGUCCAAAGAAUAGAAUCGAAAUACUGAUGCAGAAGGAAAAAACACUAUUAAAAACAAAAAUGACGUUAAGUAAUGAUUUUAAACAAAACAAACUUAUAAGAAAGACCUUCACAGGACAUGCGCUUCUGUAAACAACAACAAAACACGUAUCACAAGAUGAAUAGCAGUUCCUGAGAAUUGGUUCAGUAGUCGCAAGGUCGAGGUGGAGCUCUAGCGCCGGCAGCGACGGAGGUAGUGGUGACGGUCACUCAAAUAAACAGAACCUAUCGUCUGGUGUACCUGUCACGAGGCGUUACUGAAUAGUCUGCGCGUCAAAGACGAGGUCGAUGUGUCAGAGUAACGAGUUCCGUAGGUUUUUUUUAUUGGAAAUAGUAAAUCAUUUCAAACGUCUUACGUAAAUUAUAAUAAUAGAGUUUAGAACACGCACUUGAAAUAAUAUAUUUAUUGCUUUGUAUUUUAUAUAUUGUCGGGACACAGAAGUGAGUCGACGAGUGCAUCAGAAUUCAAGUAAUGCUUGGACUAUAUAUAGGUGAUAAGAUAACUACCAAGUGUCGUUUCUAUUUUUAAAUGGAAAUUAACGCAACAAAGUGAAGGGGCUCUAGAUAAAUGUUUUUCUCUUAAGAUAGCGAGAUACUUAUCCGUCGUUAAACAACAGCCGCGUCUGUAAUCGUCAGUCAUUAUGGUGACGGUGACAUUUUAAUUUGAAUAUGUUCCUCAUACGUGUGAGAGUCGCAGUCGAGCCUAUCUGUCUGUCUGUUAUCACUGGUGUUAUGUUAUAUAUACCACAGUAUCAGUCCUCAAGGUCGGCCUCUCCAUUCCUUCGAUCUUGUUUUUAAACUAAAACUUCAUAUUUUUUAUCAGACUACAGGCAAAUUUCUUUUAUAGUAUCCACAGAGACAAUUGGAAACAGCUCAAAAGUAGCAGUCUCCAAUUUUAACAUACACGUAAAAAUUACAUUAAUUGAAAACAUUAGAAAAGAAAAAUAUAAAAACAAUAAAAUAAAUUAAAUGAAAAUGAUGAAUGAUGAAUGA